UACUAAAAAGGUUAUCCUGAGAAUGGAAUGAAAAUCUGUUUCCCUUCCUUGCUUUAGAAAUGGCUAAAUGACAUGGUUUCUUGUCUAUACCUUGGAUAACUUUUUAAGAUCUGGGGCCUUUUAUUGAACGUAUAAGGAGUGAGGGGACAUGGGAGCUAAUUGUUUUCUACUUUAUUUCUGACUGUUGAUCUAGUUGUGAAUAUUACAUUCAUAGUACAUAUUGAUAUAGAUGCACUUUUUCUGUGAGCUGGCAGUUUGCUUUAUUUUGUUCAACUCUUUUUUGUGUUGUAAAAAAGGAAAACAUUCAUAAAUAAAAUAUACAUUAAAAAGAAAGGUUUACCCAAUGCAUUAGGAGGUGCCUUUCCCAAAAAUGUAUGUAUAACUCUGAAAAAGAAAAUAAUAAACCCUACCCAGUUUAUGAGUUGUGGCACAGAUAUGGAUCCCCACAUUUGCUAGAUGUGCCUUUGUAGCAUUAACUGAUGAUUAAUGAAAUUCUUCCCUCUGUUGUUCCUUCUGCCAUCAGGGUAUCCCGGGGAACGUGGGCAUGCGUGGACCUUCAGGGUUCACAGGAGAAAGGGGUGAGCCAGGUUUACGAGGUUUACCUGGCCCUGUUGGGAAGCCAGGACCUGCAGUAAGUGUCUGUGGUUUAUUUUUGUUUUUUAUUUCCUAUCUUUUGACCCCUGGGAACUGUUAGGGGUAUAUGAGAGUGCAGGGGAUAUUGUUCAGGGGAUUUGAUUAAGACAGAAGCUAUGAUGGGGUCACAGCAAGGAGGGUUUGGUAAAUAAAAGUAAACCAGUGAAGUGUGCAGCUGGUGUGCAGGGACUGUCUGUUUAUGAAGACGAACAGGUCGCAGUGAUUGAUUUUGUUGGGGGCACUGGUGGCAAAGCUAAUGGCAGAGAGAGAUGGCACGUCCGCCUGAUAGAGGACAAAUAAAUUGCUCCUGUCACUGCCCUCCAGCCUGUCCCCUGCAAUCCAGAGUGCCAGGUGACAUCCUCAAUGACAAAGCCGUUCUCUCCACAUGUUACAGCCCUGUUGCACUGUGGACUUCAUGGCAGUAGAGUAGAAAAACUAGAACUGACUGACUUUGACAAUGUUUUGCCAUCUCUACAGCUUACCAGCAAGCAGUGAUUUCCUCUAGCUUAAUAUUGUUUGUAUUUAUAUAGUGUACUGGCUAAAUGUAGCUGAAUAUUUUUAUAUAUAUUUCUGCUUACAUAUGACCAUUGUUUCAACAGUAUUUCAUUAACUUUAUCUUAUUAUGUAGCAGAUGAUGAAAAUAUGGUGUUAUAAUAUUGUUCAUUUUUGAUAGUUGCGAUCAGGGACUUUUUCAGAUUGUUUUGGCCAAAAUGUCAACAUAGUUUCCAGGAAAUAAAAAUGACACAAUAGAAAACACAAACACAUGUUUCUACAGCAACCCAGAAGUGAAUAACUAAACACUUUGCGAUUGGAAGAGUCGGGUGAAGCGAGGAAGUUGCGAUCUGCAGUUACACAGCUAGAUGAUGCUAAAUACUACACCCUGGACCUUUAAAUAAAUACUAACCAUUUGACACAGGGGCAGGCUUUAGGGCAUGCGGUUUCUUUAAUGGUAUGGAAAAGCCUGCUGUUUAUUAUGGCAUCAUUUUGGUGUCAUUCUCGAACAAUAAACAGAUAUUGUGACAGGUGAUGGUUCGAAGUCAAUAACGUAAUUAUUAUGACCGGUCUAGAGCUGUGAAGGAGACUUCUGAAUACAAGAAGUGCAACAGGUCUUUAACACAGACCACAUGAAGAAUAUAAACUCCAGCAGAGAUUUGUUAAAUGUCCUUCAACACACUCUUGUAUGCACCUGAGUAUAGCAAUCCACAUACAACCCCUCACACACCUGUAUGCAAUGACACACCUUUCUUUGGUUGUUUUCUCAAUAAUUAGACUAGGUCUUUCACUGCCCUGCACUGGUGGCUUUUUCCCUGCUUUGGUGAAGUUGUAAAUGAAGCUGAAAGGUCAAACUUUCUUCUUGUCAAAGUUUCUGCACCCUAUAAAUCAAUCCUCCCCUUUUGGUUGGUUAGGUUUGGGAAUAAGAUAGUCCCUCUUGCAUGGAAAGAGUUACUUUCAGAAAUGGAAGUGGGACUCUUCUGAAGUUCACUCCUUGUCCAAAGUCCUCCCUGCAGUAUCAUUGGACACACCUUUUGCUCACUCACAUGGCUGCCCACUGCUGUGGUAAAAUCCAUCAAUCUGUCAUAGAGUAAAGUUAGACAUUGCUGAGAAGGUGGAUUCGUCAGCUCUUGGCUUGAACACUUAAAUACGGUGGUAAACUGACUGCUUUUGUGUCCACAUCACUGAAUGCAUUGAAAGCCGCACUCAUCAUGGUAGAAUAUAAUCCUGUCAACAUAAGGAACAAACGGACAUGGAGGUUCUAUAUUUUGCUGAGAAAAGUUUUCAAAAUAGCAUGUCCAUAAUUUAUUCUUAGAGGGAAUAAAAGAACGUGUAAUGAGAACUCUGGAUAAUAGACAUUAAAGGUGUUACAAUACAGUCCUCACCAUCCUUAAGAUGCAGUGAUACAGUAGCUAUUCAGGGUUUAAAGUGUAUUUUAAAAAACAUUCUUUUUGUUCAAUGUCCAGGUAAGGUGUAGGAGGAAGAUAAAGGCAAAUACAGUCAUUAAAGAUAUUCUAAAAAUAUCUAAAGAACUCAGUGACAUAGGCAGAUGACUAUUGUGACUUCAACAAUCAACAAUGAUACUGAAGAAAAGGCAUUUCACAGUUAGUUAGUUGGAGGCUUAUGUUCAGCACCUUAAAACUUUGGAGAAUGAUAUACUGGCUGUAUUAUGACAGCUAAUAUUUAAAUAUAAAAAAUAUUUCUUAUUUCAUCACACACUGCUCAGACGAAAGUGUGAGUUGUGGGUGUGAUUAACAUGUUCUUACUUGUCUGUUUUUCUUUUCCAGGGUCUGCCGGGUCCCCUUGGAGAGAAAGGACCCCGGGGACCUCAGGUGAGAGAAACCUUUAGUCGGAGAGGUUGUUCCCUAAAUCAAAGAGAACAAAAUAUUUGGUUUUCCCCACACACUGUUGACGGAUGCAAACAGUAAUGCCAGUGGUUUUUGAUCAUUAAAUUAUGACUCAGAAUUACACACUAUUACUAUUAUUGUACCUGAGGAAAUUUUGUUUGGAAAACCAGCACAAAAAAUAUAAUGUAAAAUAUUAUCUUAUAAUAUAAUAUGAUAUCAUAUCAUACACACAAAUGAAUUAUCUCCUCUUCUUUUUAAUAAUCUCAAACAACAACACAUGUUUACAGUUUUAGAAUUCAAAGUAAUGUAAUGCACAUGAAGAAUUUCCAGAUGUUACUGUAAAUUAGCUCUUUGGAUAACAGCAACAUUUUAAUCUUGAGCUUUUUAUGCUGGGUUUAGCAUUAGCUAACACUGUAGCCUCUUAAUGGGCAAUCUAAAGCAUUUUCUAGAG
rnacentral:lncRNA from 15 species